GAUGUAUUGGAAGAAGAGGAGGAGAUUGGGGAUCUGAUUAACACCAGGAGAGACGUGACUAUUGUGGAUCCUCUGCGGAGCCUCAACAACAUCAUGAAGCUGAGGAGGCAGAGAAGAGUCCCUCCAGAUCAGAACACCUCAAGAAACACCAGCGGAAACCCACAGGGAAGAAAUCUCACCGCUGCUCUGACUGUGGGAAGAGUUACUCAAGAUCAGAUUCACUAAAAGUACACCAGAGAAUUCACACAGGCGAUACAGCUCACUGCUGCUCUGACUGUGGGAAGAUAUUCACUUCUUCAGCAGACCUCAAAAGACAUGAGAGAAUCCACACAGGGGAGAAACCUUAUAGCUGUGAUCAAUGUGGGAAGAGUUUUAAUGUUCCAAGCAGCCUGAAAACACACCAGAGAACACACACAGGGGAGAAACCUUAUAGUUGCGCUGUCUGUGGGAAGACCUUUUCGAAAUUAUAUACAUUACAAUCACACCAAAGAAUUCACACUGGAGAGAAGCUUCAUAGCUGCUCUGACUGUGGGAAGAGUUUUUCAAAAUUAUAUACAUUACAAUUACACAAGAGAAUUCACACUGGAGAGAAACUUUAUAGCUGUAACCAAUGUGGGAAGAGUUUUACUCACUCAAGCUGCCUGAAGGUUCAUCAGAGAACACACACUGGAGAGAGACCUUAUAGCUGUGAUCAAUGUGAGAAGAGAUUUGUUACAUCUAGCAGUCUGACUAUACACCAGAGAACACACACAGGAGAGAAACCUUAUAGCUGUGAUCAAUGUGGGAAAAGUUUUACUUCAUCUAGCCAUCUGACUAUUCACCAGCGGACACACAAGAGAGAAACCUUAUAGCUGUAAUCAAUGUGGGAAGAGUUUUACCUAGCCAAACAUCCUGAUAUCACACCAGAGAACACACACAGGAGAGAAAUCUUAUAGCUGUGAUCAAUGUGGAAAGAGAUACUUUACCAGUGUAUCUCUGAAUGAACAUCAGAAAAUACAUACAUGAAGGAGUUGUUUCAUGAUAUCAAUAAAAUAAUGUCACAGUGUAGAAUGUUUUUAACAUUGUAGGAGGAGUAUUUUAAUGAAUAAUGUCCCAAUGUAGAACCUUAAACGUUUGCCCCCUGUUCUAUUGAUUUCAGCGUGAUAUGGAUAUUAGCCUCAUCAGGGGAAAAAUCCACUUGUCAAAACAACAGCGGUUUUUGGUGAUUGUGAGGUUUUAUAAGGUGGUUGUUUAAAACAAAUAUUUAAAUAAAUACAAGUAAUAUGAUUACUAUUAUGUUUCUGUAGAUUUUAGGUUUAGGUUUUCAUUAUAUCACUAACUGUUUUCGGGUAUUGAUUUGGACACAUUAAAGGGGGUGUACGUUCGGUUUUGAUAUUUCAUCAUAUUUACAUUUCAUGUAACAUUUAGUAAUCAUAAUUAUUUAUGCAACCUACUGACAAUUUUUUGGUACAAUUUAUAUUGUUUACAAACAAUGUAGUAAAACUAGCUUAUAUUUUGGGCUGGAUAUUACAUCAUAUUCUUACUGUUUUAACCAAUGUUAUUUCCUUAGAUGCUCUUUAGUCUUUCAGCUUUUAUUGUUAUUCUUUAGUUUUUUAUCCACUGUUUGUUGUGUAGUAAAUAUUUGUUUUUAUUUUCAUAGUUUUUAUAAAUUUGUGAAGCCAUUGCUUUGCAUCCAUGUCUGAAAUGUGCUAUAUAAAUAAAGCUUGAUUUGAUUUGAACAUA